GGCUCGGUAGCUUAGUUGGUAAAGCGCUCGUCUAGCAAAGAAAAGUCCUGGGUUCAAAUCCCAGCCGAGCAC
rnacentral:tRNA from 1 species